CAGCUCUUUUAGCGUACAUUAUCAUUGUUGCAGUUAAAAAGCUCGUAGUUGGAUUUUUGUUUCUAGUUGCUCGGUUCUCCGCGGCGGCAUUUGUCGUCGUGUGAGAGCUGGCCGGAGACAUUUCUCGUCGUUCGUCGUGGCAACACGGCGGAAGGCGAAAUUACUUUGAGAAAAAUAGAGUGUUCCAAGCAGGCGUCACGCCACGAAUACUUCAGCAUGGAAUAAAACCAACGGGCUUUCGUCCUUUUGGUGGGUUCUGGACCAAGUCAUGAUUGAUAGGGACGGUUGGGGGUGCUCGUAUUCCGGGGCCAGAGGUGAAAUUCUUGGAUUCUCGGAAGACGAACAACUGCGAAAGCAUUCACCAAGGACGUUUUCUUUAAUCAAGAACGAAAGUUGGGGGACCGAAGACGAUCAGAUACCGUCGUAGUCUCAACCAUAAACGAUGCCAACUGAGAAUUCUUUCCAGUCUCUCGUGGGACACGUGCCGCAAGGUAACGGCCCACGAAUCGACGGAAGGGGCGCUCUGUGAGAAAUCAAAGUUUUCGGGUUCCGGGGAGAGUAUUGUCGCAAGGCACAAAUUUAAAGGAAUUGAUGGGAGUUUAUCAUCGGGAAUGGAUUGUGCGGCUCAAAUUGACUCAACACGGGAAAACUUACCAGGUCCGUACAGAGUGAGGAGAAACAGACUGAAGUUCUUUUUUGAUUCUUUGGGUGGUGGUGCAUGGCCGUUCUUAGUUGGUGGUGUGGACUGUCUGGUUAAUUCCGUUAACGAACGAGACUUCUACCCUGAAUUUACAUUAUAACUAGUUUUCAAUGUCUGUCAAAGGACAUUUUUUCAUACGAUAAACUUCUUAGGGGGACUAUGUGCAAUAAGCUCAUGGAGGCGGGAAGCGAUAGCAGGUCAUUGAUGCCCUUAGAAAACCUGGGCCGCACGCGCAAUACACUGGACGGAUCAGCGUGUUCAUAGUUUCUCGUUGUGGGGCAACUUGCAGCGAGAAAACCUUGUUCGAGAGGACCGGGAAAUCAUUUAAAUCCGUCCGUGCUGGGGAUUGAGCAUUGCAAUUAUUGCUCAUGAACGAGGAAUUCCUUGUAAACGUACGUCAUCAGCGUACAUCGAAUACAUCCCUUGACUUUAUACACACCGCCCGUCGCUGUUACCGAUUGAAUGUUUUAGUGAGCUGUGAGGAGAAGAGUUGGGCAACUGAUUUUCCGAAUCACAUCAAACUUGAACAUUUAGAGGAAGCAAAAGUCGUAACAAGGUCCCCGUAGGUGAACCUGCGGGGG
rnacentral:rRNA from 1 species